AGCCACCCACCGCGCCGAAGCAUUUUCCUCCCUUUUUUCUACUUCGACGACAGUGGCAGCGAUUCCGCAUCGAAGCGGCGGCGCACGAGAAGCAUCCCAUCCUCCUUCUCCUCCUCCUCCUCGUUCUCUAUCUCUCGCCAUUUCUGUCUAGCCCUUUCUCAGAGACUCUGACUUCCCCUAUGCUCUUCCACCAACCUUGGAGCCCACCCGACACUGCUAUGGAAGUGAGCGCUGGCGGUGGGGAACGGGGGCAUCAGGGAGCCGGAGAACGGACGUGCCAGCGGCGGGUUACCUAGAACGGAGGAGCACCGAGCUGACGAAUAGAUCAGCAAGGCAGUCCCGAUUUGACGCAUAUGUUUGAUUUCGACAGUGAACAACAUUAUUUCAGGAAUAUAGACUACUGAUGUGUGUUCAUCCAUGCCAUACACUACUUGUGUGUGUUCAUCCAGGGGUGCGUGUGUUUGAUGUUGGCGUUCCCCUUUGAUGUAUGUUUGAUAGAUGGUGUAAAAACCAACACUACUAUAGCCCCUGCAAUAUUAACAUUGGAUUCUAGAUCCACCGAGAAUUUCGGCAUAGCGUUCAGUUGGGUUCCAGCGUCAUUAAGGUGAUAGAUUUUUUUUCUAACUUAAGGAAAAAGUUUGCUGUAAUGGAAUGGGCAGAACGAUUGUAUAAUGAGCUAAUUUGAAAAAUGCAUAAUUUUUUUCACAAUUCCAUAAAAAAGUGUGUCAUUAUAAGAAUA